rnacentral:rRNA from 1 species
GAUGAACGCUAGCGGCAGGCUUAAUACAUGCAAGUCGAGGGGCAGCGGGGGUAGCAAUACCUGCCGGCGACCGGCAAACGGGUGCGGAACACGUACAGAACCUUCCUUUAAGCGGGGAAUAGCCCGGAGAAAUCCGGAUUAAUACCCCAUAGUAAUGUUAAGUGGCAUCACUUGAUAUUUAAAGAUUUAUCACUUAAAGAUGGCUGUGCGGCUGAUUAGGUAGUUGGUUGGGGUAACGCCCACCAAGCCAACGAUCAGUAACUGGUGUGAGAGCACGACCAGUCACACGGGCACUGAGACACGGGCCCGACUCCUACGGGAGGCAGCAGUGGGGAAUCUUGCGCAAUGGGCGAAAGCCUGGCGCAGCGACGCCGCGUGGGGAGGAAGGGCUUCGGCUUGUAA